rnacentral:lncRNA from 1 species
CACGUAUAUACGUGUGACAAAAAAAUACUGGACAGAUGUGAACAGGCUUGCAUUCAUCAAGCGUCCCUUGCCGAUAACUCUUGUUACGCGCCGCUCCAAAAAAGGUCCAAUUGUGAUUACCCAGCUUCUUCGGUCCCUAGUUUUGCGCUUAGUGAUCCUCUGUCCCGCAACACUCAGGCCCUGCUGGCCAAGGCCCAGCCCCAGUACAAGAUGCCCAGCUGUCAACUCCUACGCCCCAGCCGCCGCCAACGCCCCAGUCGCCGACACCCCAACGGCCAGCGGAAGCGCCGGUAUUCCGUACAACCAAUACUUUGCAACCACCACUAACUUGCAUCAUGAUAGCCGCAAAAUCGUGUCGUAGGUACGGCCAAGACCGGCUCCGAUCUGCACUGUGCUCCUGUUAUAUGGGUCGCGAAGCUAUGGCCCCCAAGAGUGUGAUUUGGGUCACAUGCUGUAAGGGCUCUUCCUCUACACCUCUGCCUUUCGCGUCUUUCGAUUCUGGGUUAUGUCGUGGCCAGCACGAGACUCCAGGACGCGCCAUGGAAUCUGUUGCUCUUGAGGGGGGCGCACUGCAGUGCCGCCGCUUUACUUCGUUCGACACAAGGAUGUUCCUUGUCACUAGUCUUCAUGUGGGGGUACAUGUGGUCCUGUGUGGACCUGUAUGGGCCUGUGUUCCAGCACUGCGCGGUCCUGCCGGUCGCUUCUAAUAUUCCUGUCCAUCAUCAUUUUUUCCACCGCCCAGGAAGAAGUCCUCACGUGGGUUUUGCUGUUCCCGCCCUCAUUCAAACGAGCAAAAUGCAAUCGACGAGUCCUUUUUGCAUCCAGGACUCCUGAUAGGGAAAAAAGGGGAGGUGAAGGGAAAAAAAAUCGUGGGUGCUCCUCCCGAACCUAAUUUUUGGACGGUGGCUUCAAGCUCAUAAAAUACAUGACUGAGCGGACAGAUGAUGGUUUGGGGCUGUUUGGGGGCGCGCCGCGCUGCACCCACAUUAUCAUGCGAUCUUGGUUGACAUGAGUGAUGUGCUAGACAGAGUGGCUGCCCGUACCGGCCCUGCGCUCGUGAGCAUCACCUCGUCCCGGAACCUGGCGGUCGCCUCCCCGUCCGUUUUCAGCAGCGGCUGCACCGCCUCCCACAACUUCCUCUCCUGAACCCCAUCGGGCUCAGCGGUGCAACACAGGAAGAUCGUCUACAGCAUGUAAUACGUUACAUGUAUGCGUU